rnacentral:rRNA from 1 species
AGAGUUUGAUCCUGGCUCAGGAUGAACGCUGGCGGUCUGCUUAACACAUGCAAGUCGAACGGAAAGGCCCUGCUUUUGUGGGGUGCUCGAGUGGCGAACGGGUGAGUAACACGUGAGUAACCUGCCCUUGACUUUGGGAUAACUUCAGGAAACUGGGGCUAAUACCGGAUAGGAGCUCCUGCUGCAUGGUGGGGGUUGGAAAGUUUCGGCGGUUGGGGAUGGACUCGCGGCUUAUCAGCUUGUUGGUGGGGUAGUGGCUUACCAAGGCUUUGACGGGUAGCCGGCCUGAGAGGGUGACCGGCCACAUUGGGACUGAGAUACGGCCCAGACUCCUACGGGAGGCAGCAGUGGGGAAUAUUGGACAAUGGGCGAAAGCCUGAUCCAGCAAUGCCGCGUGAGUGAUGAAGGCCUUAGGGUUGUAAAGCUCUUUUACCCGGGAAGAUAAUGACUGUACCGGGAGAAUAAGCCCCGGCUAACUCCGUGCCAGCAGCCGCGGUAAUACGUAGGUGGCAAGCGUUAUCCGGAAUUAUUGGGCGUAAAGCGCGCGUAGGCGGUUUUUUAAGUCUGAUGUGAAAGCCCACGGCUCAACCGUGGAGGGUCAUUGGAAACUGGAAAACUUGAGUGCAGAAGAGGAAAGUGGAAUUCCAUGUGUAGCGGUGAAAUGCGCAGAGAUAUGGAGGAACACCAGUGGCGAAGGCGACUUUCUGGUCUGUAACUGACGCUGAUGUGCGAAAGCGUGGGGAUCAAACAGGAUUAGAUACCCUGGUAGUCCACGCCGUAAACGAUGAGUGCUAAGUGUUAGGGGGUUUCCGCCCCUUAGUGCUGCAGCUAACGCAUUAAGCACUCCGCCUGGGGAGUACGACCGCAAGGUUGAAACUCAAAGGAAUUGACGGGGACCCGCACAAGCGGUGGAGCAUGUGGUUUAAUUCGAAGCAACGCGAAGAACCUUACCAAAUCUUGACAUCCUCUGACCCCUCUAGAGAUAGAGUUUUCCCCUUCGGGGGACAGAGUGACAGGUGGUGCAUGGUUGUCGUCAGCUCGUGUCGUGAGAUGUUGGGUUAAGUCCCGCAACGAGCGCAACCCUUGUCUUAUGUUGCCAGCAUUUGGUUGGGGACUCAUGAGAGACUGCCGGGGUCAACUCGGAGGAAGGUGGGGAUGACGUCAAGUCAUCAUGCCCCUUAUGUCCAGGGCUUCACACAUGCUACAAUGGUCGGUACAACGCGCAGCGACACUGUGAGGUGGAGCGAAUCGCUGAAAGCCGGCCUUAGUUCGGAUUGGGGUCUGCAACUCGACCCCAUGAAGUCGGAGUCGCUAGUAAUCGCAGAUCAGCAACGCUGCGGUGAAUACGUUCCCGGGCCUUGUACACACCGCCCGUCACACCAUGGGAGUUGGAUUCACCCGAAGGCGUUGCGCUAACUCGCAAGAGAGGCAGGCGACCACGGUGGGUUUAGCGACUGGGGUGAAGUCGUAACAAGGUAGCCGUAGGGGAACCUGCGGCUG